GGGGGGGGGGGGGGGGGGGGGGGGGGCGUGCGGGUCGGGCGGGGGCGGGGGGGGGGGUGGCGCGGGGGGGCGGGGCGGGUGGGGCCCUGCGCUUAGGUUCGGAAUAACUCCCCGACAGGGGUGCUGAUGCCGGGGCACUUCUUCGGCCCGGAGAUUUAUCGCCUUGGGAUGGGCCCGCGUUCUAUUCGCGCGUUGGUAGGGUAAAAGCCGACCAAGGCGAGGCUCCAUAGCUGGUCUGCGAGGAUGAGCAGCGACACUGGGACUGAGACACGGCCCAGACUCCUACGGAAGGAAGCAGUGGGGAAUAUUGGACAAUGGGCGAAAGCCUGAUCCAGCAAGGCCGGGUGAGUGAUGAAGGCCUUAGGGUUGUAAAGCGCGUUUACCCGGGAUAAUAAUGACAGUACCGGGAGAAUAAGCACCGGCUAACUCCGUG
rnacentral:rRNA from 1 species